rnacentral:lncRNA from 1 species
UUCUGGAAUCAUACAAAUGUUAGUAAUAUUUAACCUUGGAUCCAAAUCUCCAGAAACCAGAAAAUUACUUACCAUAUCAACCAAAUCAUCCUUAAUAACAUGCCAAGAGUGUUGGAAAAAAAGAGCAGUCAUGCCACCUGGUCCUGGCGCCUUCUCUGGAUGCAUCAUAAAUAAAGCCUCUUUGACCUCGGAUUCGGUUGCUAUUCUUAGCAAUCGUUGAUUCAUCUGAGGUGUAAUACCAGGUGCUACCUCUGUGAGAAAAUUAUCAAAACUCUGAUGGUGCCGUGGUAGUAAAUAAAUCUUCAAAGUAGUCUACUGCCACAUUUUUCACCUCAUUAUCCUCUGUAAUCCACUUUCCCACAGCAUCA